CUCCUGGGGCUGCGGCUGGUGUCGGAUGAGCAAAUAUACACUAAAGAGUUAGUUUUAACAAAUUAUCUGAUAUUAAUACAUACGUUAGCACGGGAGCACUUAUCGGCAUAUUUGCACAAAGGGACCUCUUGGGUUUGAGUGAGAGCACGCUUGGCAGCAGGCAUAACGGAUUUCGAGUAGUUAAACGAAGCUGCCAUGGGAUUGAAUCGCUGUUUCUGAGAUGUAAGUUUGAGCUUUUGUCCGACACGCCCAGUAGGUAGCUCCUUCUCUUCACGUAACGAAGUUAUAUUAGGAGUUUGAGAAGAUUGAGGUUGUAUGCUAGUUUCCGGCACAGAGAAAGAUUGCUGCGACUUGUCAGUUGACUCCUUCUCGAUAAAAUCGAUUUCGUCGAUCUUGCUGACUGACUCAACUGAAGCAUUUUUUGAUUUUUCAAGCUCUUCAAUUUGAUUAAAUAACCAAAGUGAGAAGCUAGUAUCAAAAUCGGACCCUAUUAAAUCAACUAGUUCUUCAUUAAUUUCAGUUUGUGUUUUUCCAUUGCUAAGCAUCACAAGAACAAAAUCGGCCAGAGAAGCAGCCUCUUCUCCC